rnacentral:tRNA from 1 species
GCCAAUGUGGCUCAAAGGUUAAAGCAUUGCCUGUGAACCAAAGGGUCUCGGGUUUGAUUCCCGGUCAAGGGCA